AGAUCAGUUGUAACACAGUGAGCAGGAGAGAUAACACGUAUCAAGAUGAAGAUGUUCGGAAGGACGUUGCUGUUCGCCUUUUCUCUGCUGGUGUUCGCGUUGUCUGCGGUGGCCCAGUCCAACAAUGGCCGCGGACCCAACUCGCUCCCUGGCUUCAGGAGCAGACGCGGCCAAAGGGGGAGACUUGGACUUUUGACGCCUCACUUUGAUGACCGCUUCUGGCACGAUUUUGACAUCUAUGGCUUCACGAGAACCGGAUAAAAGGCAGCCAUAAGAAACAAGGCUUUUGAAUCCAGCCCACCAAACCUCAGAAAUUUCAUAGAGAAAAAAAGGCCGUUUUAGAGUCUAAUUCAACAGGAGCAAAUCUACCGAGGAAGGAAUUCAUUGGCAUCGCUGUAAUAAUCUGAUAAUCAUUCUGUUCAGGAGGAUUUAUAUCAUGCGAUUGAAUUUCUCGUGAGAGUCGAGUGUGUAAGGGGACUAGCAGUGCAUGGUAACUCUGUAGUAUUAUUGGUUGAAUGGCUUUUCAGGUCGUUUUGUUUACGAGGAAAAUUUCCCUACUUAUUGAAGGGAAUUUAGUAUUCUUUGUCCUACAUAUAUCAAGUUUCGGUAUACAUAACUUUGAUAUCGAAAAAGGCAAUUUAGAAAGGAGUAGAUUCUGCUUUUCCUAAAAAAGUAGAAAUCUGCACGAUCUUUCGCCCAUUAAUCUGCCUGUACUUGUCUAUGUUUCAAUAUUUUCUCCUUAUGUGUCUCUUUUCAUUCUUUUUUAUGAAAAUAUUGAUGAGAUGUAUCAUAGGAGAUCCUUCCGAGGAAAUG
rnacentral:lncRNA from 1 species